UCAUCCAUUUUUCGAUUUUGG
rnacentral:piRNA from 1 species